rnacentral:rRNA from 1 species
UUGUGGUUAAAAAGCUCGUAGUUGGAUCUCAACAGCCUUGNAAGCGGUUAACUUUGUAGUUUUACUGCUUUAUAGGCUGUGCUUUUGCUGGAGGUUUAGGGGUGCUCUUGAUCGAGUGUCUCUGGAUGCCAGCAGGUUUACUUUGAAAAAAUUAGAGUGCUCAAAGCAGGCUAAAAUGCCUGAAUAUUCGUGCAUGGAAUAAUAGAAUAGGAUGUCGAUCCUAUUUUGUUGGUUUUCGGGACUCGACAUAAUGAUAAAUAGGGACAGUCGGGGGCAUUUGUAUUCAAACGACAGAGGUGAAAUUCUUGGACCGUUUGAAGACAAACUACUGCGAAAGCAUUUGCCAAGAAUGUUUUCAUUAAUCAAGAACGAAAGUUAGAGGUUCGAAGGCGAUUAGAUACCGCCCUAGUUCUAACCAUAAACGAUGCCAGCUAGCGAUCUGCCUGCGUUUUUACUGUAGACUGGGCAGGAAGCUUCCGGGAAACCAAAGCAUUUGGGUUCCAGGGGAAGUAUGGUUGCAAAGCUGAAACUUAAAGGAAUUGACGGAAGGGCACCACCAGGAGUGGAGCCUGUGGCUUAAUUUGACUCAACACGGGAAAUCUCACCAGGCCCGGGACACUG